UGAAUACGAGACGCUAAGGCGUCGAAGUAGUGUAUAUCAGACUUCCAAGAAAAGCUUGCACUGUCAUAGAUAAAAAAUGCCUGUACCAUAACCGACACAGGUGGGUAGGUAGAGUAUACUAAGGGGCGCGAGAUAACUCUCUCUAAGGAACUCGGCAAAAUAACUCCGUAACUUCGGGAGAAGGAGUGCCUUAUUUAUAAGGUUGCAAUAACAAGAGCCAAGCAACUGUUUAUCAAAAACACAGGUCUCCGCUAAGUCGUAAGACGAUGUAUGGGGGCUGACGCCUGCCCAGAGCCAGAAGGUUAAAGAAUUUGGUUAGCAAUUGCGAAGCUGAUAACUGAAGCCCUGGUGAACGGCGGCCGUAACGAUAACGGUCCUAAGGUAGCGAAAUUCCUUGUCGGGUAAGUUCCGACCCGCACGAAAGGCGUAAUGAUUUGGAUACUGUCUCGGAGAGGGGCUCGGUGAAAUAGACUUGUCUGUGAAGAUGCGGACUACCUGCACCAGGACAGAAAGACCCUAUGAAGCUUUACUGUAACUUGAAAUUGAAAUUGGACUUUAUUCGCGCAGCAUAGGUGGGAGGCGUUGAUUAUAAUCUUGCGGGAUUAUUGGAGCCAUCAGUGAGAUACCACUCUUGUAAUGUUAGAUUUCUAACUUUGAAUCAUUAUCUGGUCAAAGAACAGUUUCAGGCGGGCAGUUUGACUGGGGCGGUCGCCUCCUAAAUGGUAACGGAGGCGUACAAAGGUUUCCUCUGAACGGUUAGAAAUCGUAUCUAGAGUGUAAAGGCAUAAGGAAGCUUGACUGUGAGACCUACAAGUCGAGCAGGGACGAAAGUCGGUCUUAGUGAUCUGACGGUACUGAGUGGAAAGGCCGUCACUCAACGGAUAAAAGUUACUCUAAGGAUAACAGGCUGAUCUCCCCCAAGAGUUCACAUCGACGGGGAGGUUUGGCACCUCGAUGUCGGCUCAUCGCAUCCUGGGGCGGUAGUACGUCCCAAGGGUUGGGCUGUUCGCCCAUGAAAGCGGUACGCGAGCUGGGUUCAGAACGUCGUGAGACAGUUCGGUCCAUAUCCGGUGUAGGCGUUAGAAUAUUGAGAGGAGCCUUCUUUAGUACGAGAGGACCGAGAAGGACAUACCUCUGGUGUACCAGUUAUCGUGCCAACGGUAAACGCUGGGUAGCUAUGUAUGGAGUGGAUAACCGCUGAAAGCAUCUAAGUGGGAAGCCCACCUCAAGAUAAGUAUUCCC
rnacentral:rRNA from 1 species